rnacentral:rRNA from 3 species
AGACCCGAAACCCGGUGAUCUAGCCAUGGGCAGGUUGAAGGUUGGGUAACACUAACUGGAGGACCGAACCGACUAAUGUUGAAAAAUUAGCGGAUGACCUGUGGCUGGGGGUGAAAGGCCAAUCAAACCGGGAGAUAGCUGGUUCUCCCCGAAAGCUAUUUAGGUAGCGCCUCGUGAAUUCAUCUCCGGGGGUAGAGCACUGUUUCGGCUAGGGGGCCAUCCCGGCUUACCAACCCGAUGCAAACUGCGAAUACCGGAGAAUGUUAUCACGGGAGACACACGGCGGGUGCUAACGUCCGUCGUGAAGAGGGAAACAACCCAGACCGCCAGCUAAGGUCCCAAAGUCAUGGUUAAGUGGGAAACGAUGUGGGAAGGCCCAGACAGCCAGGAUGUUGGCUUAGAAGCAGCCAUCAUUUAAAGAAAGCGUAAUAGCUCACUGGUCGAGUCGGCCUGCGCGGAAGAUGUAACGGGGCUAAACCAUGCACCGAAGCUGCGGCAGCGAACGUAUCACCCAAGACAACUUUACGGAGUUGACGAUUGACGGAGCGAAGCGACGUCAAAGCGUUCAUUAAAGUCGAGUUGGCUUAGGGAUACGUUCGUUGGGUAGGGGAGCGUUCUGUAAGCCUGUGAAGGUGUGUCGUGAGGCAUGCUGGAGGUAUCAGAAGUGCGAAUGCUGACAUAAGUAACGAUAAAGCGGGUGAAAAGCCCGCUCGCCGGAAGACCAAGGGUUCCUGUCCAACGUUAAUCGGGGCAGGGUGAGUCGACCCCUAAGGCGAGGCCGAAAGGCGUAGUCGAUGGGAAACGGGUUAAUAUUCCCGUACUUGGUGUUACUGCGAAGGGGGGACGGAGAAGGCUAUGUUGGCCGGGCGACGGUUGUCCCGGUUUAAGCGUGUAGGUGUGUGUUCCAGGUAAAUCCGGUUCACUUUAACACUGAGGCGUGACGACGAGGCACUACGGUGCUGAAGCAACAAAUGCCCUGCU